UUCUCAGGCCGAUGGAGCAAGUGAUGAAUCCCUACUGUAGUUACUCCACUCGGCGCGGAAUGGCUGCAGGGGAUGUAUUCAGACAUGCACAGAGAGGUCUGCCCAGGGUGAAACAAGUGGAGGU
ensembl:misc_RNA